rnacentral:rRNA from 1 species
UACGUAGGGGGCAAGCGUUGUCCGGAAUUAUUGGGCGUAAAGAGCGCGUAGGCGGUCCGAUAAGUCGGCUGUGAAAGUCCAGGGCUCAACCCUGGAAAGCCGGCCGAUACUGUCGGACUAGAGUCCGGAAGAGGCGAGUGGAAUUCCUGGUGUAGCGGUGAAAUGCGCAGAUAUCAGUAGGAAUACCAAUGGCGAAGGCAGCUUGCUGGCAUGUAUCUGACGCUAAGGCACGAAAGCGUGGGGAGCGAACAGG